AGUGAACGCUGGCGGCGUGCCUAAUACAUGCAAGUCGAACGGACAAGUAAGAGCUUGCUCUUAUGAGUUAGUGGCGCACGGGUGAGUAAUGUAUAGCUAAUCUGCCCUACACUAGAGGACAACAGUUGGAGACGGCUGCUAAUACUCUAUACUCCUGUCUUACAUAAGUUAGAUAGGGAAAGUUUUUCGGUGUAGGAUGAGGCUAUAUUGUAUCAGCUAGUUGGUGAGGUAAUGGCUCACCAAGGCUAUGACGCAUAACUGGUCUGAGAGGAUGAUCAGUCACACUGGAACUGAGACACGGUCCAGACUCCUACGGGAGGCAGCAGUAGGGAAUAUUGCUCAAUGGGGGAAACCCUGAAGCAGCAACGCCGCGUGGAGGAUGACACUUUUCGGAGCGUAAACUCCUUUUGUUAGGGAAGAAUAAUGACGGACCUAACGAAUAAG
rnacentral:rRNA from 1 species